UAUGGCCAUAUCAAAUUGAAAUGCCACUUCUCGUCCGAUCCCCAAAGUUAAGCAAUGUCGAUUUUGCUCAGCACCGAGAUGGGUGACGGCUUGGGAAUAUUAGACGCUGUAA